rnacentral:hammerhead_ribozyme from 1 species
AUCCGGAUGAGGAGUCCCAAAUAAGACGAAAUACGCGUUAUCCUGCAU